UACGUAGGGUGCGAGCGUUGUCCGGAAUUACUGGGCGUAAAGAGCUCGUAGGUGGUUUGUCGCGUUGUUCGUGAAAACUCACAACUCAAUUGUGGGCGUGCGGCGAUACGGGCAGACUGGAGUACUGCAGGGGAGACUGGAAUUCCUGGUGUAGCGGUGGAAUGCGCAGAUAUCAGGAGGAACACCGGUGGCGGAAGGCGGGUCUCUGGGCAGUAACUGACGCUGAGGCGCGAAAGCGUGGGGAGCAAACAGG
rnacentral:rRNA from 1 species